GAUGAACGCUGGCGGCGUGCCUAAUACAUGCAAGUCGAGCGAACAGACGAGGAGCUUGCUCCUCUGACGUUAGCGGCGGACGGGUGAGUAACACGUGGAUAACCUACCUAUAAGACUGGGAUAACUUCGGGAAACCGGAGCUAAUACCGGAUAAUAUAUUGAACCGCAUGGUUCAAUAGUGAAAGACGGUUUUGCUGUCACUUAUAGAUGGAUCCGCGCCGCAUUAGCUAGUUGGUAAGGUAACGGCUUACCAAGGCAACGAUGCGUAGCCGACCUGAGAGGGGGAUCGGCCAAAGUGGAACUGAGACACGGUCCAGACCCCUAGGGGAGGGAGCAGUAGGGAAGUUUCCGAAAGGGGGGAAAGCCUGACGGAGCAACGCCGGGGUGGGGAAGAAGGUUUUCGGAUUGGAAAACUCUUUUAUUAGGGAAAAAAAAAUGGGUAAGUAACUAUGCCCGUUUGAACCGUACCAAAUCAGAAAGCCACGGCUAACUACGU
rnacentral:rRNA from 1 species